rnacentral:RNase_P_RNA from 1 species
AAAGCAGGUCGCCUUGUCGCUUGAUCUAUUGUUUUCGGUUUAAUCCGGAAAUGCGAGGUUGAGAGGAAAGUCCGGACACCAUAGGGCAGCAUAGUGGGUAACGCCCACCGGCCGUGAGGUUAGGACAAGUGCAACAGAAAGAAUGUACAGGUAAUGCUGUAGUGAAACCAGGUAAACUCUAUGCGGUGCAAUGCCAUGUAAACCGGUACUGCAGAUGGCCCGUCUGCUUCCGGAGGGUAGGCAGCUAAAGGUUUUUGGUAACAGGAACUUCAGAUAAAUGACAAGGGCUUCCGAUUUAUUCGGAACGCACAGAAUCCGGCUUACAGACCUGCUUUUUUA